UUCUCUUGAGUUUAUCCUCUUAAAGAUUGCAUUUACUGGUGUUAAACCUUUUGGAAAAUGUUUUGCUUGUCUUUAGGUUGUUAGAGAGGACAUACUAUCGAGAUUUCUAGUGGAGAGUGAGAAAGAUCCGGAGAACAUGAAUGAUAAGUACCUGAGAGAUAUAAUUCUGAACUUUAUGAUUGCUGGUAAGGACACAACUGCUGCAUCACUCUCUUGGUUCUUGUACAUGCUCUGCAAAAACCCACUUGUUCAGGAGAAAAUCGUACAAGAAAUCAGAGAUGUGACAUCAAGUCACGAGAAAACAACCGACGUAAAUGGUUUCAUUGAAAGUAUUAACGAAGAGGCUCUUGAUCAGAUGCAGUACCUCCAUGCAGCCUUGUCUGAGACCUUGAGGCUUUACCCUCCUGUGCCUGUGGUAAAAUAACCAGUCUUUAAGAGAUUCUUCUGUGAUUGAACAUUUUAAUAUUUUUCUUAAUCUUUGUUGGUCCUUCCAAAGGACACGAGAUAUGCAGAAAAUGAUGACGUUCUUCCAGAUGGACAUAGAGUGAGCAAAGGGGAUAAUAUCUACUACAUAGCCUAUGCAAUGGGUAGGAUGACUUACAUUUGGGGACAAGAUGCUGAGGAAUUCAAGCCAGAGAGAUGGCUUAAGGACGGCGUGUUCCAACCCGAAUCACCAUUCAAAUUUAUAAGCUUUCAUGUUUGUACACUCUCUUGCAAACAAGCUACGUAGAUAAGAGUAAGAAAUUAUUUUCUAAUAACACCUGAGUGAUGUUUUCUUUCUUUGACUAUGUAUGUAGGCUGGUCCAAGAAUCUGUCUUGGCAAAGAUUUCGCAUACCGGCAAAUGAAGAUAGUAGCAAUGGCACUUCUUCACUUCUUUCGCUUCAAAAUGGCUGAUGAGAAGAGCAAUGUGUGUUACAAGACAAUGCUUACACUUCAUGUUGAAGGAGGACUCCAUCUAUGCGCAAUUCCGAGGACAAGCACUUGAACACUGGCAAGAACACCUCUAAAAAACUUUUUCAUAUCAAUACUAUAUUGUAGUAUACUCAAUUAAAACAAAGCACUUUUUUUUUCCCAUAUCUUCUGUUGUCCUUUGUAUAAUCUGAUAACGUGCUACUAAAGAAAGUUGAGGCCUAAAGUCAUAUUGUGCGACUUUUGCAUCCACGAUCACUUCCAAAUUUAUACAAACAAAGACAAUACAUGAGAGAACAUCAAAACGACAGAAUCGGUUACACUCACCCCGAUUUGCUUGAAUGUCGAAUUCAUGUCCGAGAGAAAUCAAAAUCAAAUAAAAAUUCCCAGUGAUUAAAAGUUGAUGAAACCAGAGGAACUGGAAACGAUGUUAUACACACGGACCCUCUGAGUAAAAGAGAGGGUUCAGAAUUUUUCCUUGAGGCUUGAAAAAUCCGUCUUGACUUUUGUGAUUGUUGAAUCGUCGACAAAUGACUUCGCAGCGGGAAGAUUGAAAAAAUCAGACAAGAAGAAAAAAAAAAACUUCGAAGCCAAAAAAGUGAAUCAAUGGAGAUUUUGACGAGCAUGGCGAUUAUAGUAGUAACAACGAUCUUCAUCGUUCUGUCUUUCGCACUCUAUCUCACGAUCAGAAUCUUCACCGGGAAAUCCAGAAACGACAAGAGGUAUACUCCAGUACACGCCACAAUCUUUGAUCUUUUCUUCCAUAGCGACAAAUUAUACGAUUACGAGACAGAGAUCGCGAGGAUAAAGCCUACUUACAGGUUCUUGAGUCCAGGACAGAGCGAGAUAUUUACUGCAGAUCCUCGGAACGUGGAGCAUAUUCUCAAGACAAGAUUCGAUAACUAUAGUAAAGGACCCGUUGGUAGAGAGAAUCUUGCGGAUCUUUUGGGACAUGGAAUCUUUGCUGUUGAUGGAGAGAAAUGGAAACAACAGAGGAAGCUCGUGAGCUUUGAGUUCUCUACUAGAGUUUUAAGAAAUUUUAGCUACUCUGUUUUUCGGACAAGUGCUUCAAAGCUUGUUAGUUUUGUUUCGGAGUUUGCUCUCUCUGGAAAACCUUUUGAUGCUCAGGUACGUUUCAAAACAAACCAGACUCAUUGUUUCCAAGUUUGGUAACUCAAAAGGAUACUUUCUUGUUUUGUUUUUGAGCUAGGAUAUGUUGAUGAGAUGUACAAUAGACUCGAUCUUUAAUGUUGGGUUCGGUGUGGAGUUAAGAUGUCUAGAUGGGUUUAGCGAAGAAGGGGAAGAGUUCAUGAAGGCUUUUGAUGAAGGCAACGUUGCAACUAGUUCCAGGUUCACCGACCCGCUUUGGAAGCUGAAAUGUUUUCUUAACAUUGGAUCAGAGUCUAGACUCAAGAAGAGCAUUGCUACUAUAGACAAGUUUGUCUAUAGUCUCAUUACCACUAAAAGGAAAGAGCUUUCCAAGGAACAUGACACUGUGAGUUCUCUAAAGUUUAUCCUGUUAACGAUUGCAUUUACUGUUGGUUAUACCUUUUGAAAAAUGUUUUGCUUGUCCUUAGUCUGUUAGAGAGGACAUGCUAUCGAAAUUUCUUCUCGAGAGUGAGAAAGAUCCGGAGAACAUGAAUGAUAAGUACCUGAGGGAUAUCAUUUUGAAUUUCAUGGUUGCUGGUAAGGACACAACCGCUGCAUCUCUCUCUUGGUU
rnacentral:lncRNA from 1 species